UACAGAGGUCUCAAGCGUUGUUCGGAUUCAUUGGGCGUAAAGAGCGUGUAGGCGGCCAUACAGGUCCGUUGUGAAAACUGGAGGCUUAACCUCCAGACGUCGAUGGAAACCGUAUGGCUAGAGUCCGGAAGAGGAGAGUGGAAUUCCUGGUGUAGCGGUGAAAUGCGCAGAUAUCAGGAAGAACACCCGUGGCGAAGGCGGCUCUCUGGUACGUGACUGACGCUGAGACGCGAAAGCGUGGGGAGCGAACAGG
rnacentral:rRNA from 1 species